ensembl:misc_RNA Metazoa_SRP Metazoan signal recognition particle RNA
GCUGGGUGUGGUGGCAUGCGCCUGUAGUCCCAGCUACUCAGGAGGCUGAGGCAGGAGAAUCGCUUGAACCCAGGAGGCAGAGUUGGCAGUGAGCCAAGAUGGCACCACUGCACUUCAGCCUGGGUGACAGAGUGAGACUCUGUCUCAA